CCACAAUAAAGAAUGUGUCUGAGACUAGUACCCACACAGCAGAGAAGAGAGCUGAGAGAUGGAGAGAAGCAUAAAUGCAUCACGUGAGCUCCCUGACCCAGGUUUUUGGCAUACCCUCCAUCAUUCUGCUUACUCUCAAGACUGAGCAUAACCAGGGUAGCUUGCCCAGAAGAAAUACAGUCUUCCCUUCUUUGAUAGCUAUGAACUGGCUGCAUUUCCAGAUGUCAAUUCAUUAUGCAUUCAAUGCUAGAAAUUUCCCUCCAAGCACUCCUUUAGCUGCAUGCCACAAGUUUUGUCCUUGGAGAAGAUGUGUCUCCCUCAGAGAUUAGAAGAGGAGCAAAGCAGCAAAUUGUAAGAACAAUUUUGGAGUCAUCCUCCAACACAGCAAGUUCACACAGCAGGGGGAAAUCCUGGCUUUUCGAGGCUUGGAAGACUCACCUAACCCCACUGCUCUGAUCCUAGUUGUCUGCUCCCAGUUAUAAUUUGGUUUGUAUGUGGACUUCUCUGGCGAGAGGAAGAGGCUCUCCAGUGCAGUCCCCAUUCCUGAUCAGUGACCAAGCCCUGUGUGUGUGCUCCCUGAUUAUCUCCCCCAUGCACCUCUGCUCCCCAUCUCUACAGCCCUGCCUAAGCUGCAGGUGAGAUCUCCAGAGACUGU